rnacentral:SRP_RNA from 1 species
GAGAGGUUGGCGCGGGCGAACGCCUCGCCAACCCGGUCAGGUCCGGAAGGAAGCAGCCGCAACGAGAUCCGUUCGGGUCGCAGUCCAGCCUCUCACU